rnacentral:rRNA from 1 species
AUUGAACGCUGGCGGCAGGCCUAACACAUGCAAGUCGAACGAGUGGCGGACGGGUGAGUAAGGUCUGGGAAACUGCCUGAGGGAGGGGGAUAACUACUGGAAACUGUAGCUAAUACCGCAUACCAUCAGAUGUGCCCAGAUGGGUUUAGCUAGUUGGUGGGGUAACGGCUCACCAGGGCGACGAGACCUAGCUGGUCAGAGAGGAUGAAAAGCCACACUGGAACUGAGACACGGUCCAGACUCCUACGGGUGGCAGCAGUGGGGAAUAUUGCACAAUGGGCGCAAGCCUGAUGCAGCCAUGCCGCGUGUAUGAAGAAGGCCUGCGGGUUGUAAAGUACUUUCAGCGGGGAGGCGUAACCAGCAGAAGAAGCACCGGCUAACUCCGUGCCAGCAGCCGCGGUAAUAC